UAAUUUAUAUUUUAAUUAAGAUUAUUAGAAAUUUAUUUUUUAGUUAUGACCGGGGUGAUUUUUAAAGAUUAUUAAUCUUUAAAAUUUUUUAAUAAAAAAGUUCCAUUAGUAGUGAUUUUUUGAUAAAAAUACUCUAGGGAUAACAGCGUUAUUAUUUUGGAUAGUUCAUAUAGAUAAAAUAGUUUGCGACCUCGAUGUUGGAUUAGGAUUCUUUUAUGAUGAAGAAGUUAUAAGGGAGAAGUUUGCUCAACUUUUAAAGUCCUACUUGAUCUGAGUUCAGCCCGGG
rnacentral:rRNA from 1 species